rnacentral:lncRNA from 1 species
UCUCCCCCAAGUCCCCACCUCCUAAUACCAUCAUCUUUGCAGGUUAGGAUGUUAGGAUUUCAACAUAAGAAUUUCCGGGGGGCACAGAUAUCAAGACCAUAUUAGGAGCCAUAUCUUAUAUUUUCAUUUCUCCCUCUCCAACUAGCAGGCCUAGUUAUUGUUAGUAGACCUGAUCAUCAUAUCGGUGAAGGCAAUCAGAAGCAGGUGAGAAAGCUGAACUCUUAAAAUUUUACCAUGGUAUUCAGUGUGCUCAUGUGGAGGAAAAGUGUUACAGAAUAAAAACAGAUUUAAACCUUUGGACAUCUGAUAAUUUAAUAUGCAGUUUUCUGGUUCACCAAGAUGUGCUAAUUAUGAAGUCAUUCAAGUAUCAGUUCUUCACUGAAGACCCCAAAUUCCAGUACACAUAGUGAAAUUUGACCUGUCCUGGUGAUGUAAUAGGAAUGAAGAACUGGGAGAACACCGUGAGGAAAUUCUUAGCUGUCACUUCACUGUCUCUUUGUUGUCUUGCCGAAAAGUGCCAGACCUAGGGGGACUUAACAGAUUUUUUACUUAAAAUCUAAACAACACUCCUAUCUCAAUAAACACGAGAGGCCUGAAAUGGAAACCUCGGUCACUGCUUAUUCCACAGAAUUCUAGGACGGAAUUAGAAGAGAGAUUGAAGGUGUGCGUC